UGGGGAAUAUUGGACAAUGGGCGCAAGCCUGAUCCAGCCAUGCCGCGUGAGUGAUGAAGGCCCUAGGGUUGUAAAGCUCUUUCACCGGUGAAGAUAAUGACGGUAACCGGAGAAGAAGCCCCGGCUAACUUCGUGCCAGCAGCCGCGGUAAUACGAAGGGGGCUAGCGUUGUUCGGAUUUACUGGGCGUAAAGCGCACGUAGGCGGACUAUUAAGUCAGGGGUGAAAUCCCGGGGCUCAACCCCGGAACUGCCUUUGAUACUGGUAGUCUUGAGUUCGAGAGAGGUGAGUGAAAUUCCGAGUGUAGAGGUGAAAUUCGUAGAUAUUCGGAGGAACACCAGUGGCGAAGGCGGCUCACUGGCUCGAUACUGACGCUGAGGUGCGAAAGCGUGGGGAGCAAACAGG
rnacentral:rRNA from 1 species